AUUGAACGCUGGCGGAAUGCUUUACACAUGCAAGUCGAACGGCAGCACGGACUUCGGUCUGGUGGCGAGUGGCGAACGGGUGAGUAAUGCAUCGGAACGUGUCCUCUUGUGGGGGAUAACCAGUCGAAAGAUUGGCUAAUACCGCAUGAGAUCGCAAGAUGAAAGCGGGGGACCGCAAGGCCUCGCGCGAGAGGAGCGGCCGAUGCCGGAUUAGCUAGUUGGUGGGGUAAAAGCCUACCAAGGCGACAAUCCGUAGCUGGUCUGAGAGGACGACCAGCCACACUGGGACUGAGACACGGCCCAGACUCCUACGGGAGGCAGCAGUGGGGAAUUUUGGACAAUGGGCGCAAGCCUGAUCCAGCCAUGCCGCGUGUGUGAAGAAGGCCUUCGGGUUGUAAAGCACUUUCGGACGGAACGAAAUCGCGCGGACGAACAUUCCGCGUGGAUGACGGUACCGUAAGAAGAAGCACCGGCUAACUACGUGCCAGCCGCCGCCGUAA
rnacentral:rRNA from 1 species